rnacentral:rRNA from 1 species
AUCGAUAAAGAGCGCAGUCAACUGCGUGAAUUUAUUUAAACUGCAUACUGCUUGGAACAUGGACAUCUCGAACGCAUAUUGCGGCCAUGGGUUAGCCUGUGCCCACGCCUGUCCGUGGGUCU